rnacentral:lncRNA from 1 species
AGUGGGGAGAAAUAUGGAGAGUCCUACAGAGGGCAACACAGGUGCCCAGAGCAGAAGUAAGCCAGAAGAUGAGGUUGUAAGAUCAAGUUAGAACUAGACUAACCUGAAGGUUUUAAGGGUCAGGCAAAAAAGCACUUGUGUGAAAUGUGUCAACAUAUUACAAUAGGGUUGUGUUUUUGUUUGCUUGCUUAGUGUGGACAGUAGUGAUUUUAUUUCUCUUCUUUUUAUUUGUCCUUAUUUUCUAUAAAAAUCUUAUCUUGCUCUUGUAACCAAAAUGAAAGUUUUACAUUAAAAAAUGCAGCGAAUAUUUUUAAGUGGGAGCAGGUAGUCAUCAAAGUGAUGUGUUAGAUUGUAAGUCUACAGUGACCCACUAUGGGUUUUUUUUUUUUUGCUUUUUUUUUUCUCUCUCUUUUUUUUGUUACCAGGGAUCGAACGCCGGUCUUGCAUUUGUGAGGCAGGUGGCAGAACCACUGAGCUAAAUCUCCAGCCCAACCAUCUGUUUUUGAAGCAGUGCUAUCCAUUCUGCACAUUCUGAGAAUUCCCAUUCCUCUGGAGCACGUGGAGAGAGGACUGGGGCACCCUACCGAAGAAAGCAGUAGGAGGGCAGGAGGUAGCUUCUAAAGAGUCUCUGGCUUCAGGAUUCUGAUUCAAGAUGAGACACCAUGCCAACCACCAGUUCUUACAUCUUCUCUCUCACACAUGUUCCAAUUGAGGUAGUUUACUAAAUAAACUCUCUUUGUGCUUUCUGGCAUUCCUGAAGCUGAUGUAAUGUAACCGAAGGCAAACAAUUUUAGCAAUGCAAUUCAUGCGUUGCCAUCUAAAUACCAUGUAAUCAUAAAACUAAAAUGUUUACCAAAUAAUCAAAGACUGAGACAAGGAGACCAACCAAAAGGCAUUUUGUGAGACAAAGUACUGAAUUAUACUUCCAAUAAAAGAACUGGAUUACUGACAUUUAGAAAUGGGAGGAAAGGAGCUAAAGGUGUAGGGAAGGUGUGAUACGUAGGGGAAGAACAAAAAGGGAAAAGAAAAAAAUGUGAGAGAAUGAAAAGAUGAAAGAGUUAUCCUGAAGUAGUUUCUCAGAAAAACCUAAGUGUGACUUAGGUUCUAG